rnacentral:rRNA from 1 species
AUUGAACGCUGGCGGCAUGCCUUACACAUGCAAGUCGAACGGUAACGAGCCUUCGGGUGCCGACGAGUGGCGAACGGGUGAGUAAUACAUCGGAACGUGCCCGAUCGUGGGGGAUAACGAGGCGAAAGCUUUGCUAAUACCGCAUACGAUCUACGGAUGAAAGCAGGGGACCGCAAGGCCUUGCGCGGACGGAGCGGCCGAUGGCAGAUUAGGUAGUUGGUGGGAUAAAAGCUUACCAAGCCGACGAUCUGUAGCUGGUCUGAGAGGAUGAUCAGCCACACUGGGACUGAGACACGGCCCAGACUCCUACGGGAGGCAGCAGUGGGGAAUUUUGGACAAUGGGCGCAAGCCUGAUCCAGCCAUGCCGCGUGCAGGAUGAAGGCCUUCGGGUUGUAAGCUGCUUUUGUACGGAACGAAAAGCCUUCUUUUAAUACAGGAGGGUCAUGACGGUACCGUAAGAAUAAGCACCGGCUAACUACGUG